UGGAGGUGGAUGCUCAUCAGUGGCUGAGCAUCAGCUGCUGCCUGUUGAAAUGGGUCGUUUGUGAAGGAAAAGGAGGUUAUUUCCCAGGCUGGAGGAGGUGAUGGAGUUUAGGGCUCUUGUGAGAGAAUAAGGAGGUGGCCUUGAAGCUGAAUGCUUUUGCAUCUUGAUUUCUCCAUUGGUGUUGGUCUACUUGAGCAGGUGGGACAUUACAGCAACGUCAGCCGCAUCCAAGGUACACAUGGAAUACCAUGAGGAAUGCUGUGCCAGCAUGUGGGAUCCAGCCCCAGAAAACAGCUGGAGGAGCCACAUGACCCCUUUGAAUCUCUCUUCACCCUUGACUGAGGUGGGAAGGGAGAAGAUGAUGAUGUUGUUAAAUGCCAGUGAUAAGGACAGUUUGGCUUUUGUAUGGUUAGAAGAGAUGGAGGAGGCAGAAACAUUCCUGGUUAUAUCAGGCAGCUGUGGAUGGUGAUGGGUCAUUUCACUCCAUUAUGGUUUCUGGCAAGCGAAUAUUAAAAGGGGUGUGAGGGCAUAGUUUCUCAGCAAUGACUUCAUUUGGCUGUCUAAGCAAACAGCCCCUCCUCACCAGGUGCAAAAGGCCUUGUAUUUGUGUUUUUUUCUUUCAUGAAGUGCAAAGAAAUACCUAAAGUGAAAAUAGCACC